rnacentral:rRNA from 1 species
CAGCCGCCACGGUAAUACGUAGGUGGCAAGCGUUGUCCGGAAUUAUUGGGCGUAAAGGGCUCGCAGGCGGUUUCUUAAGUCUGAUGUGAAAGCCCCCGGCUCAACCGGGGAGGGUCAUUGGAAACUGGGAAACUUGAGUGCAGAAGAGGAGAGUGGAAUUCCACGUGUAGCGGUGAAAUGCGUAGAGAUGUUGAGGAACACCAGUGGCGAAGGCGACUCUCUGGUCUGUAACUGACGCUGAGGAGCGAAAGCGUGGGGAGCGAACAGGAUUAGAUACCCGAGUAGUCCCUGUCUCUUAUAA